AGGCUUUACGCAAUGGAGUUCUCCUGGAAUACGUAACGAGCUAGCUCUGAACCAGCGGCGCUUGUUGUCGAAGUCAAGAAUUGCCCUCCAUGUACACUGAAGCAAACCGUGGUUGUUCUCCUCGAGCAUCUCCGGGUUGCGUCGAAUGAAGUCAUUAAACACAGUAUAGUAUGCAUCGUGAUUUGCAAGGGAGAUUAGCGCAUUCUUGACAACCUAAUAACCAGAACAGAGACUCUUAAAGACAGCUUUUCAAUAAGGAAAAAGUGCGGAGAUGUAAAAGCUAAAGCGCAUGUGAAAUUAAAACAAAAAGAAUGGAAGAAGGGGAAA